UCAGGAUCAACCACAUUGUGUUCUACCACGCUUUCGUUUAUUUGCUACUAAGCAGUUCUCAACAGCAGCAACUUGUUGUUUUCUUGUCUACAGAGAAUUUAUUGAUGAAAAACAAAAACAAACUAUAGACAAAUUUAAAUAUUUUAUUAUUUGAAUUAAUUUAACUGGUCUAACACAUGUGAGCGAUGCUGGUCACUUUAGAUUCAACACUGGCUGCCCCCAUUACUCAAUUCCCCCCGUCUGUUAACUUUUCGAACAACUUUCAGACAACGUUGCCGCACACGCCACACGUCAUUUGAAUAUUUUUGUAUAAAAUUUUAAUGUAAUUGAGUAAAAUUUAAAACGCUUUAGUAUUCUAAAUCCAGAUGUUUAGUUUUCAAAUAUUUCUACUAUAAUGUGGCGGUAAUUGAAAAGAAAGACGCAAAUAUCUAGAAGUUCAUAAAAGGUAUCAAAGACUAGGGUCCUCAAGAAAAAAAAUUAUAUAUAUAUACGAAUUAUGGCCUUCAAACUGCCAAUGAAACCGUCACAUGCUGCCCGAAUGUUACUCUGCGGUAUUUUGACCCACUCCCGGCGAAGCGCUUGCUUGAUCGACACUUUGGUAUUUUUAGUGCCAAACUAGCUUUUCAAAAUACUCCAGACACAGCUGUCCAACGGAUUGGUAUCCGGAGAUUUUGGUGGCCAUUGUGUGCUGGGAAUGAAGCGAGGAACCUCAUUUUGUAAACAUUCUUGGGUGGUGCGUGCUGAAUGCGUUGUUGCUGAGUCCUGUUGGAAAGUACAAGGUCUGCAGCCAAAAUUUUUUCUGAAACGAUAUUCAAAUUUGAAGUACUUGUAUCUAGGAUGAAUGCAGUGGGAAUUGACAAGAUUCAAUUCAUUUGGGCUGAUAUUAACCAUUUGGUGCACCUGAUAUCGGAUAAAGAUUUAUAUGGAAGCUAUAUCCAAAUCUGAUCCGAUCUAGAUAAAAUUUGACAGAUGUA